CCAAGCCGAAGACGGGUAGCUGGUCUGAGAGGACGAUCAGUCACAAGGGAACUGAGACACGGUCCCUACUCCUACGGGAGGCAGCAGCCAAGAAUAUUCCGCAAUGGGGGAAACCCUGACGGAGCGACGCCGCGUGAAGGAAGACGGCCUUCGGGUUGUAAACUUCUUUUCUGUAGGAAGAAUAAGGUAUUCAGGAAAUGGGGUACCGAUGACGGUACUACAGGAAUAAGCCCCGGCUAAUUACGUGCCAGCAGCCGCGGUAAUACGUAAGGGGCGAGCGUUGCUCGGAAUUACUGGGCGUAAAGGGCGUGUAGGCGGCCGCGCAAGUCAAAUGUAAAAGACCCCGGCUCAACCGGGGGGCUGCGUUUGAAACUGCGUGGCUAGAGUCUAGUGGAGGGCAAUGGAAUUCCCGGUGUAGCGGUGAAAUGCGUAGAUAUCGGGAAGAACACCAAAGGCGAAGGCAGUUGUCCAUGCGAAGACUGACGCUGAGGCGCGAAAGCGUGGGGAGCAAACAGGAUUAGAUACCCUGGUAGUCCACGCCGUAAACGAUGUACACUAGGAGUUGUCGGGAAACCGGCAGUUCCGCAGCCAACGCAUUAAGUGUACCGCCUGGGGAGUACGGCCGCAAGGCUGAAACUCAAAGAAAUUGACGGGGGCCCGCACAAGCGGUGGAGCACGUGGUUUAAUUCGAUGAUAAGCGAAGAACCUUACCAGGGUUUGACAUGGCAGUGCAAUCGGGUGAAAGUUCGAGUUCCCGUCAGGGACGCUGUCACAGGUGCUGCAUGGUUGUCGUCAGCUCGUGCCGUGAGGUGUUGGGUUAAGUCCCGCAACGAGCGCAACCCUUGUUGUUAGUUGCUACAUUUAGUUGAGCACUCUAGCGAAACUGCCGGCGACAAGUCGGAGGAAGGAGGGGAUGACGUCAAAUCAUCAUGGCCUUUAUACCCUGGGCUACACACAUGCUACAAUGGUCGUGACAACGGGAAGCUAAGCCGCGAGGUGGAGCAAAACCCUUAAAAACGGCCUCAAUAUGGAUUGCAGUCUGCAACUCGACUGCAUGAAACCGGAAUCGCUAGUAAUCGCGGGUCAGCAAUACCGCGGUGAAUACGUUCUCGGG
rnacentral:rRNA from 1 species